AAUAGAUACCCUGGUAGUCCACGCCGUAAACGUUGGGCACUAGGUGUGGGUCUCAACCAACGAGAUCCGCGCCGUCGCUAACGCAUUAAGUGCCCCGCCUGGGGAGUACGGCCGCAAGGCUAAAACUCAAAGGAAUUGACGGGGGCCCGCACAAGCAGCGGAGCGUGUUGCUUAAUUCGAUGCAACGCGAAGAACCUUACCAAGGCUUGACAUGCACGGGAAGCCACCAGAGAUGGUGGUCUCUUUGGACACUCGUGCACAGGUGGUGCAUGGUUGUCGUCAGCUCGUGUCGUGAGAUGUUGGGUUAAGUCCCGCAACGAGCGCAACCCUGUCCCAUGUUGCCAGCGGGUUAUGCCGGGGACUCAUGGGAGACUGCCGGGGUCAACUCGGAGAAGGUGGGGAUGACGUCAAAUCAUCAUGCCCCUUAUGUCUUGGGCUUCACGCAUGCUACAAUGGCCGGUACAAAGGGCUGCGAUACCGUAAGGUGGAGCGAAUCCCAAAAAGCCGGUCUCAGUUCGGAUUGGGGU
rnacentral:rRNA from 1 species